rnacentral:rRNA from 1 species
UUCCUACGGGGGGCAGCAGUGAGGAAUAUUGGUCAAUGGGCGGGAGCCUGAACCAGCCAAGUCGCGUGAAGGAAGAAGGUACUUAGUAUUGUAAACUUCUUUUGUCGGGGAACAAAGGCGGAGACGCGUCUCCGGAUGAGUGUACCCGAAGAAAAAGCAUCGGCUAACUACGUGCCAGCAGCCGCGGUAAUACGUAGGUGGCAAGCUUUGUCCAGAUUUAGUGGGCGUAAAGCGAGUGCAGGCGGGUC